AGGUGGCAGUUGUACGCUGCUGUUCCUGCGCGCCGUCCGCACCAUCCGACGACUGCUUGCUAAGUUUUGGUAGCU
rnacentral:sRNA from 4 species